AAUGAUUCAUAACAAUAAGGCCAAAAAAAAAUAUAUGUCUGUUUCCUGUUUCCCGACCGACCCUGACUCAAAGCCCCCGACCCUAGAUCUUUUUAUUCAAUUCCGGAAAAAAAUCGUUUCCGGUCCGGAAAAAUUCGGUUCCGGUCCGAUCCAGAUCCGUAUUUUACUAUACACAAACAAUCAAAAUGGCUGCUCCCAGCACAAUUGUGCUACAAUUAAGGUUUAAAAAAUGUCGGCACUGGGAGGAUUAUUCAAUUAAAGCUUCUUUAAAGAGAUUAAAUGAUUUUAGGGUACAGGACCCUAACCAAACAUGACAUUUAACCAUCUGCAAAUCUGACAGGGAGUGCAAAAAUAAUAAUUAAAAAAAAAAAAAAAAAAAAAAAAUCCCGACCUACCGACCCUGAUUUUUUUGCCUUGGCAGCAGGAAACAGACAUAUAUUUUUUUUUGGCCUAAGAUAAAAUUAUGAUAAAUGUGUUCAUUUAAAUGAAACAUCAUACAAAUAAAUUACAUUCAUACCUCAAAUUUUGCUCAACUGAUUAAAAAUCUACCCUUUACAUUCAACAUGUUCAAAGAUUACAGAAGAAUUAACUUAAUAACUCCUUAGAAUCAUGUGUUCUAUCGCCUUUGUUGCCUAAUCCCCUGCCCCUCUCCCCCCAAAAAUGAAAAGUUAAUGUAAUCUUGUAAUGUCAAAACCAUCACAUAAUCAUAAUGGUUGUUUCAAAUUACUACAAGAUGGUCUGUUCAGUAUAUUUUCAAGUACAAAAAUCAUUCUUAAUAAAAUAACAGAGUUCCAAUACCCCCUGCUCUGCACAUAUUUUAUCUAUCAAAGGGCAAAAAAUACCCACUUUUUGUUCUAUAAAACAAUUUAAAAAUAUCUUAGAGAAAUGAAGGCUUCAGAGCAAAUGCAAUCUGAUAUCCAUUUAUUUAAUUCCACCCCCGACCCCCACCAAGUGACAUAACUAGUAAAAAUAUUUGAUCAGCACUGGUUUUUGAAAGUGUCAAAGACAUUGCUGAU
rnacentral:lncRNA from 1 species